rnacentral:tRNA from 1 species
UUAACUGAAGCCAAAAUAGAGGCCCCCCAUUGUUAAUAGGGUAAUUGAUCAAUUUAAAAAUCCAGUUAAA